CAGUGGCGAACGGGUGAGUAACACGUGACGAAUCUGCCCCUGACUCUGGGAUAAGCGUUGGAAACGACGUCUAAUACCGGAUACGAGCUGAGAAGGCAUCUUCAGCAGCUGGAAAGAACUUCGGUCAGGGAUGAGCUCGCGGCCUAUCAGGUAGUUGGUGAGGUAACGGCUCACCAAGCCUACGACGGGUAGCCGGCCUGAGAGGGUGACCGGCCACACUGGGACUGAGACACGGCCCAGACUCCUACGGGAGGCAGCAGUGGGGAAUAUUGCACAAUGGGCGAAAGCCUGAUGCAGCAACGCCGCGUGAGGGACGAAGGCCUUCGGGUUGUAAACCUCUUUUAGCAGGGAAGAAGCGAAAGUGACGGUACCUGCAGAAAAAGCACCGGCUAACUACGUGCCAGCAGCCGCGGUAAUACGUAGGGUGCGAGCGUUAUCCGGAAUUAUUGGGCGUAAAGAGCUCGUAGGCGGUCU
rnacentral:rRNA from 1 species